UCCCUGGUGGUCCAGUGGUUAGGGCUCUGUGCUUCCAAAGCAAGCUGCAUGGGUUCGAUCCCCGGUCGGGGAA
rnacentral:tRNA from 1 species